rnacentral:rRNA from 1 species
AAUUUUGGACAAUGGGGGAAACCCUGAUCCAGCCAUCCUGCGUGUAUGAUGAAGGCCUUCGGGUUGUAAAGACCUUUUGGCAGAGAAGAAAAGGUAUCCCCUAAUACGAGAUAUUGCUGCAGGUACCUGAUGAAUAGGCACCGGCUAUCUACGUGCCAGCAGCCACGGGAAGACGUAGGGUGCAAGCGUUAAUCGGAAUUACUGGGCGUAAAGCGUGUGUAGGCGGUUCGGAAAGAAAGAGGUGAAAUCCCAGGGCUCAACCUUGGAACUGCAUUUUUAACUGCCGAGCUAGAGUAUGUCAGAGGGGGGUAGAAUUCCACGUGUAGCAGUGAAAUGCGUAGAUAUGUGGAGGAAUACCGAUGGCGAAGGCAGCCCCCUGGGAUAAUACUGACGCUCAGACACGAAAGCGUGGGGAGCAAACA